rnacentral:tRNA from 1 species
GGACGAGUGGGAGAGUGGCUGAAUCCGCGCCCCUGCUAAGGGCGUGUAUCCUUACGGGUACCGAGGGUUCAAAUCCCUCCUCGUCCGCCA